GUUUUGGAUUCAUAGCUCAUCCCACUAGAGAGAAGUCCUGUCUGAAAAUGUGAUAUCUGAACAAAGAUCUAAAGGAGGUGAGCUGUGCAUAUCUAAAGGAGCAAGCUAUACAGAUAGAGAUCUGGCAGAGAACAGCAAAGGCAGAGGCCCUAAAGCAGGAGCAUGCCUGGUGCGGUUGAAGAAUAGCAAGGAAGCCAGUGAGAGAGAAUGAAG